rnacentral:rRNA from 1 species
AGUGAACGCUGGCGGUAGGCCUAACACAUGCAAGUCGAACGGCAGCACAGUAAGAGCUUGCUCUUACGGGUGGCGAGUGGCGGACGGGUGAGGAAUACAUCGUAAUCUACUUUUUCGUGGGGGAUAACGUAGGGAAACUUACGCUAAUACCGCAUCCGACCUACGGGUGAAAGCAGGGGAUCUUCGGACCUUGCGCGAUUGAAUGAGCCGAUGUCGGAUUGGAUAGUUGGCGGGGUAAAGGCCCACCAAGGCGACGAUCCGUAGCUGGUCUGAGAGGAUGAUAGGCCACACUGGAGCUGGACCACGGUCAAGACUCCUGCGGGAGGGAGCAGUGGGGAAUAUUGGGCAGUGGGCGGGAGCCUGGUCCAGCGGUACCGCGUGGGUGGAGAAGACCUUCGGGUUGUAAAGCCCUUUUGUUGGGAGAGAAAAGCAGCAGGUUAAUACCCCGCUGUUCUGACGGUACCCAAAGAAUAAGCACCGGCUAACUUCGUG